AGUAACCGUGCAGCUCAUCAAGCGGAGAAAAACUGAAGGAAAUCAGACAGUCACCUCGGUCUGCUUCCCAUUGGAUCAAUCUUUGAUGAGACAGCUAAUGAUGCUAGUCGGCUAGUUAAGCUAGCAUACCGCUAACUCAAGGACCAGCUUAAACUUCUCGGAUGCCUGUUUCUGGUGAACCGUGCCAUGGUGACGUUAGAUCUGGUUGUUUUGGGAGUUGUGGGGAAAAAAGAUUGGAAAUAGAGAUCACACAUUUCCAUUUAUUCUAAUUUGGUUUGCAUAAAGCAAUGACAUGUUACGAGAGGCGCCAGUCACGGAAACACAAAUCGCUUUGGGACAGGUGACUAACACUCAUUUUCCUUUAGUGCGGUCUCAAUCCAGGGAGAUGUUCUUCCUGAGUGAGAGCCAUAAAAAACAAAUAUAGCUCCGUGCAAACAGAAAUCACAAUCCAGAGAGCAUCUUCUAAAACAGAUUUAUUCUUAAAAAUCUGACAAAAUGAAACUCCUUCUUCUGACUCUCUGCCUCCUGG